GAAGGUUCAGUUACACGAGUCUUCGAGCAUUUCGCCUCUGCGGUGGGGGUCGGUCUGCAGUCAAAUUGGUCGACUCUUUGCCUCUGAGGAGGUGCAAACCAACCCUUAGUCGCCGAACGAGAAAGGCCGUGGAAAUUCCUUCUUGUUCCCAUCUUGCCGCCGCAUACUUCCCACCGUCCCCCUUUGCUUUCUUCGUCACUCCUCUUCAUGGGCCAGACUCAGAGCGAUGCCGCGGCCGCCGCUGCCGAAGCUGCGAGCAAGACGGAGCAGCCACCGCCGUCGAUCGAACCCCCUCCAUCUCCGGCCGCUUCUUCCAUGGAAGCUCUGGUCGCAGAAGCAAUGGCAACUGGAGACAAUGACAGUGAAGAGUCACUGGAAGAGAAGGCACAAAGAGCAUUGAAAUGUCCAUGUGUUGCUGACUUGAGAAAGGGUCCCUGUGGGGUUCAGUUUUCAGAGGCAUUCGUCUGUUUCAUUAAGAGCACUGCAGAAGAGAAGGGAUCAGACUGUGUGAAUCCUUUUGUCGCCUUGCAGAACUGCAUUAAGGCAAACCCUGAUGCGUUUACCAAGGAUAUUUUGGAUGAAGAGAAGGAACCUGAAGAGGAGAAAGUUCAAGACUACAAGAUUAUACCUCCAUCAUGGUCCAGAGAACCGAGACCAAAGAACUGAGAUGCUAAACCUCCUCACCAUUUUCAAAAUAACACAACCUAAACGAUUGAUUCAUCUUUUCAGCUUUGUUCAGCCUAAAUUAUGGAACCCAAGAUCAUGCAAAUUCUAUUUCUUGUUCAGAACUUGUUGCAAUUCGUAAUGGAUUUUAGGAAGCUAUGAUGAUUAGCAGCAUUUGAAGAGCAGCAACUUCUUUGAAGGUUAAUAAUGGUGUAUAAGCUUGGCUUAAAGCGCCUUUAGAAAGAGUAUUGAAUUGUUCAGAAUUAGCUUGUAUCUUCUCUUCAAAUUACGAUUCUUUGAGAAUAUGUAGUGCUAAGGUAUGCUUAUUGAGUUAUAUUGUUUUUAGUGUCACAAGUAAUUAAUUUCAUGGUGAUUGAACAACAGAUGCUGUC